AAUGAAGUGCCUGAAAAUAAAAGGAUUAUCGUGAUAGGAUAAAACAUGUAAAAUAUUACCUUCAUUA
rnacentral:tRNA from 1 species